rnacentral:rRNA from 1 species
AUUGAACGCUGGCGGCAUGCUUUACACAUGCAAGUCGAACGGCAGCGCGGGCUUCGGCCUGGCGGCGAGUGGCGAACGGGUGAGUAAUGCAUCGGAACGUGCCCAGCUGUGGGGGAUAGCCCGGCGAAAGCCGGAUUAAUACCGCAUACGACCUGAGGGUGAAAGCGGGGGACCGAAAGGCCUCGCGCUAUUGGAGCGGCCGAUGUCGGAUUAGCUAGUUGGUGGGGUAAAGGCUUACCAAGGCGACGAUCCGUAGCUGGUCUGAGAGGGCGACCAGCCACACUGGGACUGAGACACGGCCCAGACUCCUACGGGAGGCAGCAGUGGGGAAUUUUGGACAAUGGGGGCAACCCUGAUCCAGCAAUGCCGCGUGAGGGAAGAAGGCCUUCGGGUUGUAAACCGCUUUUGUUCGGGAAGAAAUCCUCUGGGCUAAUACCCCGGGGGGAUGACGGUACCGGAAGAAUAAGCACCGGCUAACUACGUG